ACCUUUGUGGUGCAACGGUAGCACACUCGGCUGUUAUUCCAGAGGUCCAGGUUUAAGUCCCGAAGAAGGCA
rnacentral:tRNA from 1 species